rnacentral:rRNA from 1 species
UACGAAGGGGGCUAGCGUUGUUCGGAAUCACUGGGCGUAAAGGGCGCGUAGGCGGCUUUGGUAAGUCGGGGGUGAAAGCCUGUGGCUCAACCACAGAAUUGCCUUCGAUACUGCAUGGCUUGAGACCGGAAGAGGUAAGUGGAACUGCGAGUGUAGAGGUGAAAUUCGAUAGAUAUUCGCAAGAACACCAGUGGCGAAGGCGGCUUACUGGUCCGGUUCUGACGCUGAGGCGCGAAAGCGUGGGGAGCAAACAGG